GAAUAUUGGACAAUGGGCGAAAGCCUGAUCCAGCCAUGCCGCGUGUGUGAAGAAGGCCUUUUGGUUGUAAAGCACUUUAAGCGAGGAGGAGGCUACUUAGAUUAAUACUCUAGGAUAGUGGACGUUACUCGCAGAAUAAGCACCGGCUAACUCUGUGCCAGCAGCCGCGGUAAUACGUAGGGUGCAAGCGUUAAUCGGAAUUACUGGGCGUAAAGCGUGCGCAGGCGGUUUUGUAAGACAGAGGUGAAAUCCCCGGGCUCAACCUGGGAACUGCCUUUGUGACUGCAAGGCUAGAGUAUGGGAGAGGAUGGUAGAAUUCCAGGUGUAGCGGUGAAAUGCGUAGAGAUCUGGAGGAAUACCGAUGGCGAAGGCAGCCAUCUGGCGUAAUACUGACGCUGAGGUACGAAAGCAUGGGGAGCAAAC
rnacentral:rRNA from 1 species